rnacentral:rRNA from 1 species
UACAGAGGUCCCAAGCGUUGUUCGGAUUCACUGGGCGUAAAGGGUGCGUAGGCGGUCGGGUAAGUCUGAUGUGAAAUCUCACAGCUUAACUGUGAAACUGCAUUGGAUACUAUCCGGCUCGAGGAAUGGAGGGGAGACUGGAAUACUUGGUGUAGCAGUGAAAUGCGUAGAUAUCUGGAGGAACACCGGUGGCGAAGGCGGCAUCCUGGACCGAGAUUGACGCUGAGGCGCGAAAGCCAGGGGAGCAAACGGG